CCUACGGGAGGCUGCAGUGAGGAAUAUUGGUCAAUGGGCGCGAGCCUGAACCAUCCCAUUAUCUUUCCUGAUGACUGCCCUACGGGUUGUAAACUUCUUUUAUAAAGGAAUAAAGUGAGGCACGUGUGCCUUUUUGUAUGUACUUUAUGAAUAAGGAUCGGCUAACUCCGUGCCAGCAGCCGCGGUAAUACGGAGGAUCCGAGCGUUAUCUGGAUUUAUUGGGUUUAAAGGGAGCGUAGAUGGGUUGUUAAGUCAGUUGUGAAAGUUUGCGGCUCAACCGUAAAAUUGCAAUUGAUACUGGCAGCCUUGAGUACAGUUGAGGUAGGCGGAAUUCGUGGUGUAGCGGUGAAAUGCUUAGAUAUCACGAAGAACUCCGAUUGCGAAGGCAGCUUACUAAACUGCCACUGACAUUGAUGCUCGAAAGUGUGGGUAUCAAACAGGAUUAGAUACCCGUGUAGUC
rnacentral:rRNA from 1 species